GACGAACGCUGGCGGCGUGCUUAACACAUGCAAGUCGAACGAAGAGCGAUGGAAGCUUGCUUCUAUCCAUUUUAGUGGCGAACGGGUGAGUAACGCGUAAUCAACCUGCCCUUCACAGGGGUACAACAGUUGGAAACGACUGCUUAUACCGCAUACUAUCUAAUCUCAGCAUCGAGUAUAGAUGGACGGUUGUCUCUUCAUGUAAACUUUCACUGACGUAGGGUUUUGCGUCUGGUUAGGUAGUUGGUGGGGUAACGGCCCACCAAGGGGAUGACUAGUAGCCGGUCUGGAAGGAGGGACGGCCACAUUGGGAAUGAGACACGGCCCAGACUCCUACGGGAGGCAGCAGUGGGGAAUCUUCCGCAAAGGACGAAAGGCUGAAGGAGCAACGCCGCGUGAGUGAUGACGGCCCUCGGGUUGGAAAGCUCUGUUAAUCGGGACGAAAGGCCUUCUUGCGAACAGUUAGAAGGAUUGACGGUACCGGAACAGAAAGCCACGGCUAACUACGUG
rnacentral:rRNA from 1 species